UACGGAGUGUCCAAGCGUUAAUCGGAAUUACGGGUCGUACAGCGCACGCAGGCGGUCUGUUAAGUCGGAUGUGAAAUCCCCGGGCUCAACCUGGGAACUGCAUCAGAAACUCGCAGGCUAGAGUCUUGUAGAGGGGGGUAGAAUUCCAGGUGUAGCGGUGAAAUGCGUAGAGAUCUGGAGGAAUACCGGUGGCGAAGGCGGCCCCCUGGACAAAGACUGACGCUCAGGUGCGAAAGCGUGGGGAGCAAACAGG
rnacentral:misc_RNA from 1 species